GUAUUCUCUUAUAAGCAUAUGCCAUAAUUUAUUUAAUUAAUCCCCAGGUUUGAGCCCAUGGGUUGUGUACAAUCUUUCAUUAUUAUAUAAAUAGUGCUCUGAUGGGUGCCGUAGAUUAAAUCUUUGCCCAUAUUCUAUUUUUAUUUCCUUAGAAUAUUUCUAUAAAUGGAAUAGCUGUGUCACAAUUUAGUAACGUUGCAACAACAGCAAUGCAUAUUUUAAAGAUUUUUUGAUCCGUACUGUCAAAUUGUCCUCCAGAAAGGUUGUUCCUGUUCGUAUCAGAACUAGAAUCUUUGACCUUGGCUCAGAAGACGGCAAAGAGACUGGGAAAGAAUGCCUCUAAAUGGUGAGAAGUAAGAGGAUCUGACAUUCUGCUUUUCUCUGGUGCUGGAAAUACCUUUAAGACAGAAUGGGAAUCAGGACUGAGUCUUCAAGACCCCCAGGGUCCCUUGUGUUGACUGGAUUUCAACCAUUUGGAUAAACCCAGCCUUGUACCGCUGUGCUAAGGGGAACAAGGGACAGGGUUUAUAUCCAUAUUUGGACCAGCCUAGUAGUGGGAAUACUGGAAUCAGAGAGCACCCCAAAGGGAGAGCAGGGCUGGCCACUUUGCCUGCUACUGCCUGACCUGGCUAGUCCAUCGGUGCUUUCUCCCCACAAGCAAUAGGGGCUGAGUGGCACUGCUGUAGUAUUGGAAGUCGUUUCUUCUUCCUCUUCUCCUAACCCUUCUCUUUCUUCUCCUUCUUCUUCUUUCCCCCCCAUCUUUCCACGUUCUCUCGCGAGACGAUAUAUCCCAGGAGGGCAGAAACCACGUGAUGCUUCUUUUGUAUAACCAACAAUAGUAGAUAUGGGGAAGAUACUUGCUGAUUCUUCUCACUGUCAAAAUAAGGUAUCAGAUCUUGCCACAGAUUAUACUGGAUGACUAAAAUCUCAGCAGACCUACUGACUACUCCCUCUUCUCUCUCACGGUUUUACAGAUGCAGAUUGGAUUUCUUUCGUCAUGUACAGAGACCAAAGGUGCUGCUGAGACAAGUUUCCGUGCCCUUUCUUGUGUGACUUUUCUGGACUUCACUUCUUGCCUGCUGUACUACAGUGCCCACUUGACCCCUACCACGUAGAUCACUCUCUCUCUCUCUCUCUCUCUCUCUCUCAAUCUCUUACUCACCAGGCCCCUGGUACCUACCUGACCCCGUCUGGCCAGCCAGGGGGCAAUUCUCCCCUCUCUCGACUGCUUCCUGACGUCCAUGCUGUCAUUUGUCAGAGGAGACCAAGACUCAGAAAGUUAAAUUGAAUUCAAAACUGUGCCUUCUAGCCAGUCUCGAGUCCUGAUUUUUAUUCCACUCUAGCUGGGACUGAAUAAUCUCAUUCUACUCCCCCAUCCCCAAUCAGUCCUGGAGGUGAUCUGCACCAACCCCACACCCAUCCCCGAGUUUCCAGCGAGCGCCCAGCACAGGGAAGCUUAGUACACGAU
rnacentral:lncRNA from 1 species